AACUCACAAAAGCUCAUACCUUUCUACUCACCACACCGUACAAAUCAUUUUUCCGAUUUCCAUUUUCAUUUUCAUCCGUCGGAUUUCGUAAAAAUCCAACCUUUUCACAUUCCACUUCAUAUUCUUAGUCACUUUUCAAGAACUACACAAAUGGAGUUUAAUGGAUUCAUUCUUCGAGGAGGGAAACCGGGGGAUAGACAAAGAAAAAU
rnacentral:lncRNA from 1 species